rnacentral:rRNA from 1 species
GACGAACGCUGGCGGCGUGCUUAACACAUGCAAGUCGAACGAAGAGCGAUGGAAGCUUGCUUCUAUCAAUCUUAGUGGCGAACGGGUGAGUAACGCGUAAUCAACCUGCCCUUCAGAGGGGGACAACAGUUGGAAACGACUGCUAAUACCGCAUACGAUCUAACCUCGGCAUCGAGGAUAGAUGAACGGUGGCCUCUACAUGUAAGCUAUCACUGAAGGAGGGGAUUGCGUCUGAUUAGCUAGUUGGAGGGGUAACGGCCCACCAAGGCGAUGAUCAGUAGCCGGUCUGAGAGGAUGAACGGCCACAUUGGGACUGAGACACGGCCCAGACUCCUACGGGAGGCAGCAGUGGGGAAUCUUCCGCAAUGGACGAAAGUCUGACGGAGCAACGCCGCGUGAGUGAUGACGGCCUUCGGGUUGUAAAGCUCUGUUAAUCGGGACGAAAGGCCUUCUUGCGAAUAGUUAGAAGGAUUGACGGUACCGGAAUAGAAAGCCACGGCUAACUACGUG